rnacentral:rRNA from 1 species
CGCCGCGUGAGGGAUGACGGCCUUCGGGUUGUAAACCUCUUUCAGUAGGGACGAAGCGCAUGUGACGGUACCUAUAGAAGAAGGACCGGCCAACUACGUGCCAGCAGCCGCGGUAAUACGUAGGGUCCGAGCGUUGUCCGGAAUUACUGGGCGUAAAGAGCUCGUAGGUGGUUUGUCGCGUUGUUCGUGAAAACUCACAGCUCAACUGUGGGCGUGCGGGCGAUACGGGCAGACUAGAGUACUGCAGGGGAGACUGGAAUUCCUGGUGUAGCGGUGGAAUGCGCAGAUAUCAGGAGGAACACCGGUGGCGAAGGCGGGUCUCUGGGCAGUAACUGACGCUGAGGAGCGAAAGCGUGGGGAGCGAACAGGAUUAGAUACCCUGGUAGUCCACGCCGUAAACGGUGGGUACUAGGUGUGGGUUUCCUUCCUUGGGAUCCGUGCCGUAGCUAACGCAUUAAGUACCCCGCCUGGGGAGUACGGCCGCAAGGCUAAAACUCAAAGAAAUUGACGGGGGCCCGCACAAGCGGCGGAGCAUGUGGAUUAAUUCGAUGCAACGCGAAGAACCUUACCUGGGUUUGACAUGCACAGGACGUGCCUAGAGAUAGGUAUUCCCUUGU